CCUCAGGUUUUUGGAGGAAGGUUCGUCCGCUCCAAGUUAGGCGGGAGCUAAGGUCAGGCCGAAAGGCGUAGCCGAUGCACAGACGGUAGAGAUUCCGUCCCCACCGAAAGAUUUAAGCACAGGGACACUUUUUGAAGGUCGGAGCCAGGUGUUGGUUCUGGUAGUGAUCGAGGGAAAUUUAGUACCGAAGUCUGGCUGGAUAAGAGGCGAGAAAAGCUGUGUGUAUAUCUAAGGUGCCCGUACCGCAAACCGACACAGGUAGGUAGGAAGAAGAUUCUAAGGCCAACGGGAGAAGGGUUGUUAAGGAACUCGGCAAGUUGACCCCGUAACUUCGGAAUAAGGGGUGCUCACGAGAGUGAGCCGCAGAGAAUAGGCCCAGGCAACUGUUUACCAAAAACACAGGUUUGUGCUAAAUCGAAAGAUGACGUAUACGAGCUGACGCCUGCCCGGUGCUGGAAGGUUAAAAGGAGAUGUGCAAGCAUUGAAUUGAAGCCCCAGUGAACGGCGGCCGUAACUAUAACGGUCCUAAGGUAGCGAAAUUCCUUGUCAGGUAAGUUCUGACCCGCAUGAAAGGCGUAAUGAUCUGGGCACUGUCUCAACAGCCCGCCCGGCGAAAUUGUAGUACCGGUGAAGAUGCCGGUUACCCGCGACAAGACGGAAAGACCCCAUGGAGCUUUACUGUAGCCUGAUAUUGGGUUUCGGUGUUGCAUGCACAGGAUAGAUGGGACGCUAGGAAAGAAGCGCUUUGGCGUUUCCGGAGCGGACGUUGGGAUACCAUCCUUGCGACAUUGGAAUUCUAACCUGCGCCUCUGAAUCGAGGCGGGGGACAUUGUCAGGUGGGCAGUUUGACUGGGGCGGUCGCCUCCUAAAAAGUAGCGGAGGCGUUCAAAGGUUCGUUCGAUCUGGACGGAAACCAGAUGAUUGAGUGCAAACGCAUAAACGAGCCUGACUGCGAGACUGACGGGUCGAGCAGAGACGAAAGUCGGAGUUAGUGAUCCGGUGGUAUGUGAGUGGAAAUGCCAUCGCUCAACGGAUAAAAGUUACCCUGGGGAUAACAGGCUGAUCUCCCCCAAGAGUCCACAUCGACGGGGAGGUUUGGCACCUCGAUGUCGGCUCAUCGCAUCCUGGGGCUGAAUUCGGUCCCAAGGGUUUGGCUGUUCGCCAAUUAAAGCGGUACGCGAGCUGGGUUCAGAACGUCGUGAGACAGUUCGGUCCCUAUCUGUCGUGGGCGCAGGAUAUUUGAAAGGCGCUGUCCCUAGUACGAGAGGACCGGGAUGGACGAACCUCUGGUGCACCAGUUGUCACGCCAGUGGCACAGCUGGGCAGCUAUGUUCGGAUCGGAUAAACGCUGAAAGCAUCUAAGCGUGAAGCCGGCCUUAAGAUAAGAUAUCCCACUGAGUCAAUCAGGUAAGACCCCUUGAAGACUACAAGGUUGAUAGGCACAAUGUGUAAGUGGCGUGAGUCAUUGAGCAAGCGUGUACUAAUAGGUCGAGGGCUUGACCC
rnacentral:rRNA from 1 species